CGAACUCCUUGAGUAAAGUGGCGUACGGGUGAGUAACACGUGACUAACCUACCUCCGAAUGGGGAAUAACACCGGGAAACCGGUGCUAAUACCGCAUAACAUCUACGGAUCAAAGCAGUAAUGCGUUUGGAGAGGGGGUCGCGGCUGAUUAGCUAGUUGGUGGGGUAAUGGCCCACCAAGGCGACGAUCAGUAUCCGGCCUGAGAGGGCGCACGGACACACUGGAACUGAAACACGGUCCAG
rnacentral:rRNA from 1 species